UGGGGAAUAUUGGACAAUGGGCGAAAGCCUGAUCCAGCCAUGCCGCGUGUGUGAAGAAGGUCUUCGGAUUGUAAAGCACUUUAAGUUGGGAGGAAGGGCAGUAAGCGAAUACCUUGCUGUUUUGACGUUACCGACAGAAUAAGCACCGGCUAACUCUGUGCCAGCAGCCGCGGUAAUACAGAGGGUGCAAGCGUUAAUCGGAAUUACUGGGCGUAAAGCGCGCGUAGGUGGUUCGUUAAGUUGAAUGUGAAAGCCCCGGGCUCAACCUGGGAACUGCAUCCAAAACUGGCGAGCUAGAGUAGGGCAGAGGGUGGUGGAAUUUCCUGUGUAGCGGUGAAAUGCGUAGAUAUAGGGAGGAACACCAGUGGCGAAGGCGACCACCUGGGCUCAUACUGACACUGAGGUGCGAAAGCGUGGGGAGCAAACAGG
rnacentral:rRNA from 1 species